AUGCCUCGAGCUGGCGAGUUCUUUCCCCUCCUCCUGCGUUUCUCUUUCUCUCUCUUUUCUGUACUGUGUUGGCCAACACACACUCUCUUUCUCUCUGUCUGUGCUCUUGCCUCUCCCUGUGCUUUCUCCCUUUAUAGGACACGGGUAGGUGUGGAUCCCCACAGGCUAGGUCUCGGGAGCCAGGAAGAAGUAGGAGGGGAUGAAAAUUAUGUGGGGUUGUGGGUGCGAGAGUGGAGACAGAUAUUGUAAAAUAUCUAGCAUGGUAGCAUGUUGGACAGUGAUGGCUCUUCCAUAGGUGGUUUGCUGUUCUUGCAGAGGCCCGCUCAAGGCCAAUGGAGCCGCCCCAGACAGAGGAGAAGCAUCUGGAGGAACCAGACCUGCACAAUCUAGAUGUUUUUCACUUGGCAGUGGAGCUAAGAAGUGCUCUCGUGAUAUUGGAGGAGCAGUACCAAGGGAAAAGAAGUGGAGGGUCAGAGCUCGUGCGAUGGAAAGCAAGUAAGAGCGGAGAGACAGCGAACGUUACUGAUGCCAGGCAAGAGCUGUCCAGCUUGGAGCCGAGCAGCCGUCACCGUCAGUGAGAUAAGUGUCUUGUUAGCUGCUCUUGCAGAGGAAUUGUCCAGGAGCCCUAGCUGGAGGAGGAAGAGGCAGAAGUGGACCUGAGCAGCUUGGACAUCCUUUUAAGCAGACACGAACAGUCAUCAGCUUUCUGUCUCCUACAUAACUGGCUAUGAGACCAAGAGAAAAGAAGUGGAGGGUCAGCGUCGGCUCACCUCACAUUACGGAAAGCGAGUGAGAGCGACGAGAUCGCAAGCAUUUUGGAUGCCAGGCAAGAGCCGUCCAGCUGGGAGUGGAGCAGCCGCCACUGUCAAUGAGAUAAGUAUCUGUUUUGGUGAUUGCUCUGCUCACUGCCCACCUGAAUCCAGAUACAAACGCCCCAUUAGCUGGGACUGGGUUUGUAACAAAAUAUUCCUGACAAUGUGUGGGUUCUGAAGGAGACAAGGUCCCCAUUUUCAGGGGCUGCUCAUUUCUUUGUUCACAA